UAGUAACUAAAAGCUGGCAGAUGAAUGUAGAGGAGUAACUAAAGUAACUAAUAAUCUAAAGCUGUAACAGAUGAAUGUAGUUGGAUAAC